rnacentral:rRNA from 1 species
AUACAGAGGGUGCAAACGUUGCUCGGAAUUAUUGGGCGUAAAGCGCGUGUAGGCGGCCUGUUAAGUCGACUGUGAAAGCCCAUGGCUCAACCAUGGAAGUGCAGUCGAUACUGAUAGGCUAGAGUUCUGGAGAGGAUGGCGGAAUUCCCAGUGUAGAGGUGAAAUUCGUAGAUAGUGGGAGGAACACCAGUGGCGAAGGCGCUUAACUGGACGGGUACUGACGCUCAGGUACGAAAGCGUGGGGAGCAAACAGGAGUAGAAACCCCAGUAGUCC